rnacentral:rRNA from 14 species
GACAGCGUACCUUUUGUAUAAUGGGUCAGCGACUUAGUCUGGCGAGCGAGCUUAAGCCGAUAGGUGGAGGCGCAGCGAAAGCGAGUCUGAACAGGGCGUUCAGUUCGUCGGAUUAGACCCGAAACCGAGUGAUCUAGCCAUGAGCAGGCUGAAGGUUGGGUAACACCAACUGAAGGGCCGAACCCGUAUCUGUUGCAAUAGAUUGGGAUGACUUGUGGCUAGGGGUGAAAGGCCAAUCAAACUCGGAAAUAGCUCGUACUCCCCGAAAUGCAUUUAGGUGCAGCGUUGGUUUAGUUUUAUAGAGGUAGAGCUACUGAUUGGAUGCGGGGGCUUCACCGCCUACCAAUUCCUGACAAACUCCGAAUGCUAUAAAAUGAUGACCAGCAGUGAGGGCAUGGGUGCUAAGGUCCAUGUCCGAGAGGGAAAGAACCCAGACCAUCAGCUAAGGUCCCCAAAUGUAUGUUAAGUUGAAUAAACGAGGUUGAACUGCUUAGACAGCUAGGAUGUUGGCUUGGAAGCAGCCAUUCAUUUAAAGAGUGCGUAACAGCUCACUAGUCGAGCGAUCGGGCGUGGAUAAUAAUCGGGCAUAAGUAUGACACCGAAGCUAUGGACUUCGUAAGAAGUGGUAGGGGAGCAUUCUAGUCGCGCUGAAGCGGAAUUGCGAAUUUCCGUGGAGCGUCUAGAAAAGAAAAUGUAGGCAUAAGUAACGAUAAUGCGGGCGAGAAACCCGCACACCGAAAGACUAAGGUUUCCUCAGCUAUGCUAAUCAGCUGAGGGUUAGUCGGGACCUAACGCGAACCCGAAAGGGGUAGUGGAUGGAUAACUGGUUAAUAUUCCAGUACUAGUAUUACUGCGAUGGAGUGACGGAGAAGUGAAAGACCUGCGUGCUGACGGAAUAGCACGUUAAAGAGUGUAGGUAUAGGGAUGGUAGGCAAAUCCGCCAACCCUGCUGAACUUGAUAGUACCAUGAGCCUUCGGGCAAGUGGAUAUGGUCCUAAUCAUACUCCCAAGAAAAACUUCUAAGCUUCAGGUAAAUACUACCCGUACCGCAAACCGACACAGGUAGUCAAGGAGAGAAUCCUAAGGUGCUCGAGUGAUCCGUGGCUAAGGAACUAGGCAAAUUAACCCCGUAACUUCGGAAUAAGGGGAGCCUCCUUCGGGAGGUCGCAGAGAAAUGGCCCAGGCGACUGUUUAUCAAAAACACAUGGCUUUGCAAAAUCGAAAGAUGAAGUAUAAGGCCUGACACCUGCCCGGUGCUGGAAGGUUAAGUGGAGGGUUUAGAAGUUUACUUCGAAGAUCUCAAAUGAAGCCCCAGUAAACGGCGGCCGUAACUAUAACGGUCCUAAGGUAGCGA